rnacentral:rRNA from 1 species
GCAAGUCGAGCGCACCCUUCGGGGGGAGCGGCGGACGGGUUAGUAACGCGUGGGAACGUACCCUUCACUAUGGAAUAGCCCUUGGAAACGAUGAAUAAUACCGUAUACGCCCUUCGGGGGAAAGAAUUUCGGUGAAGGAUCGGCCCGCGUUAGAUUAGAUAGUUGGUGGGGUAAUGGCCUACCAAGUCUACGAUCUAUAGCUGGUUUGAGAGGAUGAUC